CUUUUCCAUUCAGCAUUUUCUGUCUGCUAUACUUACACUGAUAUAUUUACACCUCUACGUCUACCUUGCAGACAUAAAAGAGUGCACGGUAUCUAUCUCCAUUGGCAGUACUGAAGUGCUUUAUUGGACCUUUAUGUAUUAACAUUACUGUAUGAACAUUGUAAAUAUUAGUGAAAUCUUGUAUGACUUCAUCCUUAGGUACCAAGUGUUAUGUACCUGUGACAUUUAGAGCUGCUUCUAAACGUAUACAAAAUGGCUGAUGUAAUAACUAACAUGUUGUACAUUAAACUGCAAUUAUACGUUGUUGUUAGUCUCUAAUAAAUUAUUAAAAUAAUUAAGGAAGGAGUGCUAGAUCCCUGGAUGGGAGUGUGAGUAUUAUGAUGUGUGUUACACUAAUAUCUGUGACUCUAACCUUGAGAUCUUCAUCCUGAAAUUUG